rnacentral:snRNA from 1 species
GGUCGUGCGGUGAGCACAUAGCAAACUAUUCUUUCGCCUUUUACUAAAGAAUACCGUGUGCUCAUAGCAUUCAGCGGCAUACACCUAUUUUUGUAGAGGAUCCCCUUUACUAGGGAGUU